AGAAAGAAUCCUCAUUGCCAAAGCUUCCGGUGGUUCUAGAAUCCUCAGGGUGGUGGUUCUAGAGUGGGCAGCAUGGACAUCGUACCCUUUUUGUUGCGGUGCUUUUAAAAAUUCACCAUGCCUAACACUACCUCUCCGUUUGCUCUACAAUCCUCAGGGUGGAGGUUCUAGAAAUCUCCUACAGUUCUACAGUCCUCGGGGUUGGCGGUGCUAGAAUUCUCAAGACGGUGGUUCUAGAGUUUUCGUGGUGGUGGAUCUAAAAUCCUUGUGGUGGUAAAUCUCGAAUCCUUGACCUCCUGGUUGUAGUUUGUGUAGGCGCCUUCCUACGAUUCCUGUCGCCAAUUACUGCGCUGUGAUUGUCUCCGUUUUCUUUUCUUUUUUUUUUAAAUAUGACAAUCAGCUCGACUCUAUUGUCUAUUUAGCCGCAAGCGUUUUUUUUUAUUCCGUGAUCGAUGGCGUAAGUGUGAGUUUUAAAUUGUCAGGAAGGGCCGCGUUAGCGUCGUCGUUCCUUAGAAGCGGAUAUUGCGGUUUGAAAUGCUCUCGCAUACGAAUGCAAAAACAUGACAUGAAGUAGUGUACGUCUCUGAAGCAAAAUGAAGCAAUAAACUGCUGUUGUUCCCUCUCACAAUAAGUGUGCUGAAACAUUUGUGUUUAAUUUAACGGCGAGGGGAGAAAGAGAACAACAGCUUGACGAAUGAGCCUGAGAGCGCUGUCAUUGCUCAACAAAAGACUCGUCCUCGCGAUGGCCUCAUUUUUCUAAUAACUUCCAGUCGCUCAUAAAGAGAGACGAGAGAGAAAACAGCAGGGGAUGGGAACAAUCCAUGACGAGCUUUAAAACGUGCCCUGGUGAGCUACAGGAAAGUUGUUUGGAGCCAAUGGCCACAAGGAUGGAAAAGUCUUCCAUGUUAUGAUAACGCUGUGGAGGAUGAAGCGAUGGCACGGCCCCCACAGAGCCCCGAUCUCGACAUCGUCGAGUGUGUCUGGGAUUACACGAAGAGACAGAAAGCCGACAUCCACAGAAGAUCUGUGGUUAUUUCUCCAAGACGUUUGGAACGACCUACCGGCCGAGUUCCUUCACAAAUCGUGUGCGAGUGUAGCUAGUAGCUAACUGCUGCUGUUCUGAAGGCAAACGCUGGUCACACCAAAUAUCGAUGUGAUUUAGAUUUCUCUUUUGUUCAUUCACUGCAUUUUGUACAUUUAUAAAAAUAAAUGUUUAACACUUCCAUUUUUGAAA